AAAUCCCCUUCCGGUCAUUUACACUUGUGACUCAAUUUAUCUUCUUCAGCCAUCAUAAACUCAGAACAACAGACAUGCUACUAAAGAAACAUUUUGACAAAAUCAAGAAAAAGAACCAAUGGAGAAGAAGAAACAUGGUCAACAUGAGAGGCAAAUUCAGGAUCAUACAACUAGCAAUGGGAAAUAAUUAACUAGCACUUACGGUCCUGUAGGUUUAAGACUAACAACACCC
rnacentral:misc_RNA from 1 species